AAAUAUAGUGAGAACGCAGAGAUAAUAAUUAUAUAGUUUAUACGAUAAUCGAGACUGACGAAAAUUAUUAUAAGGCUGCUCAUGCAGAGGGUAUAGCUAUAUAGCUGAAGAAAAAGAGUGUUCUGGCUCAGUAGCUUUGGUAUACUGUACAACAGAACACAAUUGCAGUGUGCUAUUAGCUAUAAUAAUUUAUUAUAAUUAUUAUCCGAAUAGCCGUGGUUAUAAUUUCAUACGUAGUACUGCCCACCGCGGAACCAAAAUCUAAAUACUUUCAUUACCAACCACUAGCAAAGAAAGAUGCGUAGCUAAGAAGCAGUAGCAGUUUUCUGCAGGCAACUUUGUUGCAAACUAGUCUAGAAUAGUUACUCUGACAGGAUCUCUAAGUUUCGAACGGAGGAGUAUACCAGCCAAGGCCCCAGCGAAGGAUCAUUUCACAACAUUCGCCUCUAGCAAAGAAAGAUGCAUAACUUGGAAACAGUGACAGUUUUCUUUAUUUAACUUCGUAGCAAAGUAGUCUACAGUAGUUACUCUGUCAGGAUUUUCUGGUUUCCAACGAAACAGUCAACCAGCCAAGGGCCAGAGCAAGGGAUCACUUCAGAGUGUGGCAAAGAAAGAUGCACCACUUAGUAACGCUACCUUGUAACUAGUUACUCCUCCAAGUUUCUAUCUGAACAGUCAAUCAGCCAAGGACAGAGCGAGAGAUUACUUUAGAGGUAAGCUUUGUGUGCGUAUGAUUAUUAGCUGAUAAUACUAUACGCUUACCUACGUAGCUUGUAAACUAUACUGGCUCCAUGCAGCAGUGUGUUGAAGCCGGAGUUUAAAUACAGAAGCCUAUAUGUACGCUCAGUAUAUGUACGAUUUGCUUAGCAUAUCUGUUGGUCUCAUCCACAAUGUAAUCUGUUAUUAGCUGCUGGACACCCGGAAAAUUAACUUUUAUCUUUGUCGAUUCCUUUAUUGCUACUGAGGAUGGCAGCAGAAACACCUCUAUUGUUUAGACUCCUGAUCUGGUCAAUCAUGAGUCUCAUGAUGAGAGAUACAAGGGGAGAGACAAUUAACAAGAACAACACUUUUGUCAACAGGAGGAGCCUUGGUCCUACCUAGCUUGUAGUCCAUUAAAAAGGGUAGCAACUGAUAUAGCAGAGAGACUUGCCAUACCCCGUUGGGAACCAGAUAAACACGUCCCUUCCCUCAAACAGGAGCUUGAGAGCCUGGGCCUGUUCUGCCAUGAGAGUGAGGCCAUC